rnacentral:tRNA from 1 species
GGAGAGGUGGCCGAGUGGUUGAAGGCGCACGCUUGGAAAGCGUGUAAAUAGGAAACUGUUUCAAGGGUUCGAAUCCCUUUCUCUCCGCCA